GCCUCCGUGGUGUAUCGGUCAACCUGUCUAACACGUCUGACCUGGCUUGUCAGAAGACGUGGGUUCGAAUCCCAUCGGUGGCG